CUGGCAGCUGGGGCCAAGGGGUUCUCUUCCUGGCUAGGGGCUACUCUGCUGGCAAAUCAGUUUCCUGCUCUGGAUCCCAGCAACCCCACCUGUAAAAAGAGGCUCUUUCCCAUUCUCUCCAUCUGCAGAGGUGCUGCCGUAACUGUCGGAAGCACGUUCAGGUUUUCUCUUCUCUGGCACGGAGUUGGUGUUCACACCUGGGAUCAGGGCUGGCUCAGUGGAACGUCAGGCCCAAUGGCAAUUGAUUCAGAGAAAUAGAAUGGUCACUUCUUGAUAAAGUAUAGCCAGAUGUGCAGAACACAGGGCCACGCCGAAUGGGGGGAUACAACCAGACCUGCCCCUGCCAGCCCCAGCCUGCACGUAUGCCCAGAGAUCCCCUCUCAUUUCAGCCCAGAUGAUGGGAACCAGGUGGGGAGGAUAAAGAAAUUUGCUUAGAACCAGCGUCACUCAAGCCUAGGCACUCCUCGUCCUAGGCAUCCUCCAGUCCCUGGCAUGCCCCAACUCCUACCAGUGGCUCCAUGAGGAAGAGAGGUAUUCAGAACACAUUUUACUUCCAUCAUGGCUGCCCCUUGUUUAAUUAUAGUGGUGACUUUGAAGAACAUUCUGGAAUACAUUUUAUCGUCCUAAAAGUCUUCAUUGAGGAAACCUCCAACCUAUCACAUAUGGCCCAAGAGGAGACUGGUGACUCCCUCAGUGAUAGAAAAACCUCUUGGAGGAGAGAACAUUGCUUUAAAGGAGGCUGAAAUCUCCUCCCCUCGUUCCCACCUGGAUCUGGAAACCAACGGAUUCCUAUGCGCUGCACGGCACAGCUGCGAGCCCUCCCAGGAGGGUGCGGGAGGCCCGAUCCCGGUGUCACCCACUGGCUCUGUGAUCUCUGCUAAGCUUCUUCAUUCUUCUGCUCUGUCACAUGCAAACCAAAUGCUCCCGGAGCCACCCUGGCUUCUCCAUCGCAGAGAGGCAGCAUCAGAGCUGGAAGCUGUUCUUGGACUGAGCGCUGCAGGUCCCUUCUUCCUGACAGUGUCUCAGAUUUCUGCAGGAAUGCCAUAGUUACCAGCACACGAGUAAGGACCAGACCAGGGUAACUAGCCAUCCAGCGUGUCCAGGCGUUUCCUGGUUGCACCACUGAGUGUUCUGAGCCCCGGAACCAUCCAAUCAAUCACCUUGCCUGCACUCCCCUUGGCUGUGAGAAGGGGAGCUGGUGGUGUGUCCUCCAUCCCUCAUAUCUUCUCCCCUCUAAUCGAGACUGAGGGUGGCUCCUCUGCCAGGGGUGACGGAAAGGUAGAAAAGACCCAUUUGAGUUUAACAGAAAG
rnacentral:lncRNA from 1 species